rnacentral:rRNA from 1 species
GAUGAACGCUGGCGGCGUGCCUAAUACAUGCAAGUCGAGCGAACGGACGAGAAGCUUACUUUUCUGAUGUUAGCGGCGGACGGGUGAGUAACACGUGGAUAACCUACCUAUAAGACUGGGAUAACUUCGGGAAACCGGAGCUAAUACCGGAUAAUAUUUUGAACCGCAUGGUUCAAAAGUGAAAGACGGUCUUGCUGUCACUUAUAGAUGGAUCCGCGCUGCAUUAGCUAGUUGGUAAGGUAACGGCUUACCAAGGCAACGAUGCAUAGCCGACCUGAGAGGGUGAUCGGCCACACUGGAACUGAGACACGGUCCAGACUCCUACGGGAGGCAGCAGUAGGGAAUCUUCCGCAAUGGGCGAAAGCCUGACGGAGCAACGCCGCGUGAGUGAUGAAGGUCUUCGGAUCGUAAAACUCUGUUAUUAGGGAAGAACAUAUGUGUAAGUAACUGUGCACAUCUUGACGGUACCUAAUCAGAAAGCCACGGCUAACUACGUG